GACGAACGCUGGCGGCGUGCCUAAUACAUGCAAGUUGAGCGCUGAAGGUUGGUACUUGUACCAACUGGAUGAGCAGCGAACGGGUGAGUAACGCGUGGGGAAUCUGCCUUUGAGCGGGGGACAACAUUUGGAAACGAAUGCUAAUACCGCAUAAAAACUUUAAACACAAGUUUUAAGUUUGAAAGAUGCAAUUGCAUCACUCAAAGAUGAUCCCGCGUUGUAUUAGCUAGUUGGUGAGGUAAAGGCUCACCAAGGCGAUGAUACAUAGCCGACCUGAGGGGGUGGUCGGCCACAUUGGGACUGAGACACGGCCCAAACUCCUACGGGAGGCAGCAGUAGGGAAUCUUCGGCAAUGGACGAAAGUCUGACCGAGCAACGCCGCGUGAGGGAAGAAGGUUUUCGGAUCGUAAAACUCUGUUGGUAGAGAAGAACGUUGGUGAGAGUGGAAAGCGCAUCAAGUGACGGUAACUACCCAGAAAGGGACGGCUAACUACGUG
rnacentral:rRNA from 1 species